rnacentral:rRNA from 1 species
UUACGGGAGGCAGCAGUGGGGAAUUUUCCGCAAUGGGCGAAAGCCUGACGGAGCAAUACCGCGUGAGGGAUGACGGCCUAUGGGUUGUAAACCUCUUUUUUCAGGGAGGAAUCAAUGACGUGUACCUGAAGAAUAAGCAUCGGCUAACUCCGUGCCAGCAGCCGCGGUAAGACGGAGGAUGCAAGUGUUAUCCGGAAUCACUGGGCGUAAAGCGUCUGUAGGUGGUCAAAUAAGUCAACUGUUAAAUCUUGAGGCUCAACCUCAAAAUCGCAGUCGAAACUAUUCGACUAGAGUAUAGUAGGGGUAAAGGGAAUUUCCAGUGGAGCGGUGAAAUGCGUAGAGAUUGGAAAGAACACCGAUGGCGAAGGCACUUUACUGGGCUAUUACUAACACUGAGAGACGAAAGCUAGGGUAGCAAAUGGGAUUAGAUACCCCGGU